UACGGGGGGAGCAAGCGUUGUUCGGAUUUACUGGGCGUAAAGGGCGCGUAGGCGGCCAGCGCAAGUCAGUUGUGAAAUCUCCGAGCUUAACUCGGAAAGGUCAACUGAUACUGCGCGGCUAGAGUGCGGAAGGGGCAACUGGAAUUCUCGGUGUAGCGGUGAAAUGCGUAGAUAUCGAGAGGAACACCUGAGGCGAAGGCGGGCUACUGGGCCGAUACUGACGCUGAGGCGCGAAAGCCAGGGGAGCAAACGGG
rnacentral:rRNA from 1 species